rnacentral:rRNA from 1 species
AAUGAACGCUGGCGGCAGGCCUAACACAUGCAAGUCGAACGGGUCCUUCGGGACUAGUGGCGGACGGGUGAGUAACGCGUGGGAACGUGCCCCUUGGUACGGAAUAGCCCCGGGAAACUGGGAGUAAUACCGUAUGUGGUCGAGAGACGAAAGAUUUAUCGCCAAGGGAUCGGCCCGCGUUGGAUUAGGUAGUUGGUGGGGUAAUGGCCUACCAAGCCGACGAUCCAUAGCUGGUCUGAGAGGAUGAUCAGCCACACUGGGACUGAGACACGGCCCAGACUCCUACGGGAGGCAGCAGUGGGGAAUCUUAGACAAUGGGCGCAAGCCUGAUCUAGCCAUGCCGCGUGAGCGAUGAAGGCCUUAGGGUUGUAAAGCUCUUUCAGUGGGGAAGAUAAUGACUGUACCCACAGAAGAAGCCCCGGCUAACUCCGUG